CAUAUAAGGCCCGGCACCCCACCCCUCCCCCUCCCGGACGGGUGCCUGGGUUUCUCCCCUUUCUUUGCCCUCGCCAUUUUGUUGGUUGCGACUGCAAGCGGACCGGCGGCGGUGUGGGCACUUGAGUGUGAGCGAUCCGGCUAAGCUGACGGCCUUGUGACAGUCAGUCCGCGGCACCUUCACCGUCCCAGUACCGGCGCCCGCGGAGGAGCCGAGCUCUUUUCCCUUGCCUCUGUUACUGCCGUGCGGGAGCAGCCCGGCGUCUGUCAGUCUCAUGGAACAGCCCAUGGCGGCCGUGGGCUCCGAGGAGUUUCCCGAAGGGGCCAAGAUAAACGCCAGCAAGAACGAGGAGGACGAAGGAAAAAUGUUCAUUGGGGGUCUUAGCUGGGACACAAGCAAGAAGGAUUUGACAGAUUACUUGUCCAAGUUCGGUGAAGUUGUAGACUGUACCAUAAAAAUGGAUGCAGUGACUGGUCGAUCAAGAGGAUUUGGUUUUGUACUAUUCAGAGAACCUGCCAGUGUGGACAGGGUGUUGGAACUGAAGGAGCACAAGCUUGAUGGGAGGCUUAUUGACCCGAAAAGAGCAAAGGCAAUAAAAGGCAAGGAGACGGCUAAGAAAGUGUUUGUUGGGGGCCUAAGUCCUGAUGUACCAGAAGAAAUGGUUAAGGACUACUUUGGAGCAUAUGGAGAGAUUGAAGGCAUUGAACUUCCAAUUGACAACAAGACUAAUGAGCGGAGAGGAUUCUGCUUCAUCACAUUCAAGGAAGAAGAACCAGUGAAAAGGCUCUUGGAAAAUAAGUAUCAUAAUAUAGGCUCUAGCAAGUGUGAAAUUAAAGUGGCGCAGCCCAAGGAAAUCUACAGACAACAACAGCAACGAGGAGGCAGAGGUGGAGGUGGGUUUGGUGGAAGAGGUCGUGGUAGAGGGGGACAAAAUCAGAACUGGAACCAGGGAUACAACAGCUACUGGAAUCAAGGUUAUAGUAGUUACAACAAUGGCUAUAGCAAUCCAGGUUACAAUGGAUAUGGAGGUUAUGAUUACUCUGGGUAUAACUACAACAACUACGGAUAUGCUCCAGCAUAUGAUACCUACAAUACAAAUGUGCCUCCUGAUGGUCAAUCAAGGAACGGCAUUGAUGGUCGUGGAGAAGUCUGCGGCCUGGACUGCCUCACCCUCUCUGCUGAAGGAGGCCAGGUCAGCAGAGCAGCUACGGAAAGGCAUCUAGAGGAGCAGGCAGUCACCAGAAUAACUACCAACCAUACUAAAGAAAAAAUUAUCUAGUUAUUUCAUUGCAGCGGGAACUUCAUUGCAGGACACGUGUCACCCUGACCACACGAUUCUCUUGGGGCCGCGCAUUGCGGACAGAACGUGAGGUGUGCUCGUGAAAAUGCUGCCCUGUGGUGGAGAAUUGGAAGUAUAAACAUCAGUAUAACAGAAGAUAAUGUCAAGAGAAAAUGUUAAACCUGAGAGCAUCAGUGUUUUCCUUUGGGACUUUUGUACCACAUGAAAUCUGAAGUUGACAUAUUUUGUGCCCCAAAUGUAUAUAGCAUCUAAACGUUUUUAAGUCAUAUAGUUACUUUGCUUUGUACGACUUGAGAACUGCAUUCCUUAACAUCUGUGUAUUGUGAUAGUAUAUAAUGUUGCUACUAACUGGUGUGAUGGAACACAUGUUUGUUGCUGUACCCUGUUGUAUCUGCUGAAUGGCAUCUGUUGCUGAAAUAAAUGAGUGUGAAUGCUCAAAUGUCAAGUGGUUUAUUGGGUUGAGAAAAAUUGGCUUUUUGAUAUGAUUGUGCAAAGGUGCCCUUUAGUUACAGAUACAGUAGACUGUAUUCAUUUCUGAGCGCUAGGAGUUGUAUUUAGGCUGAUGUCUGAGAGGAAACAGGUUUUCCUGUUUACAUUGAUGCUACUAAUAUGUUAUCUAAAUUUAUAUUGUGCACUAGAUCUGCAAAUGAAUUAGUUCUUGCUGCUUUCUUCCAUUUCCAACUGCACCCUCCCAAAGUGAUUUUUUUUUGUUAAACAAUUUAAAACUUUUGCCCUUCCUGGUGUCAGGUUUCUUGAAUAACUCUUCAUCUGUAUGUUGACUUCAAUUAUAACUUCUUUUGUGUGUUGUAUUGCCAAUUUCAUCUCCGCAUCUUGGAGAUAUUAUCUUAGUGUUCAGUUUCAUUAAACUUCAAUGAUAUA